AGUAGCGGAGGAAAAGAAACUAAAUAGGAUUCCUUCAGUAAUGGCGAACGAACAGGGAACAGCUCAGCAUGGAAAUUGGGGCUUCUGGCCUUGAAUUGUAGUCUCGAGAUGUAUUGCCAACGGAGGCGCAGAUGUAAGUCUCUUGGAAAAGAGCACCGGUGAGGGUGAAAGUCCUGUUUUUCAUUUGCAGUCCCCCGUGCACGGCAUAUCUUCUAAGAGUCACGCUCCUCGGAAAUGGAGUGCAAAGUGGGUGGUAAAUUUCAUCUCAAGCUAAAUAUUGGUUUGAGACCGAUAGCAAACAAGUACCAUGAGGGAAAGGUGAAAAGGACUUUGGAAAGAGAGUUAAAAGUGCCUGAAAUUGCUGAAAGGGAAGCGAAUGGAACCAGUGUAUCUUGGCGAGAUUGCUGUUCACUGAUGUGAUGUUGGGGUGCGUCAAUGCAAAUGUUGCAUUUCAUUUUGAUCUGAAUGUGAUCGGUGCUUCUCGCCUUGUGUGUCAACGCCAGUUCAUGAUUGUGGAAGACGAUAGGGACAUGGUACUUCGCUCGCGGGCGAACGAAUGUGCUUGGAUGAACUCGUUUUUGAACUGAGAUUGUGUGUUUGGACACAGCACUUACAUCAUUUUCUUCUUUCCUUCGGGGACCUUGCGUCUUUGAUAGAAGGGGGUUGGGAUUGGGUGCGUUCCAGGCAUGGAGAUGAUGACUAAAUGGUUUUAUUUGACCCGUCUUGAAACACGGACCAAGGAGUCUAGCAUAUGUGCAAGUUCAUGGGUGGUGAAUCCUAUGUGCGCAAUGAAAGUGACUGCUGGGAUAUUUUGCACUGGCAACCGACCGAGCAAUUGUGUGAGGUUUGAGUAUGAGCAUAUCUGUUAGGACCCGAAAGAUGGUGAACUAUGCCUGAGAAGGGUAAAAUCAGGGGAAACUCUGAUGGAGGCUCGUUUCGGUACUGACGUGCAAAUCGUUCGUCAUACUUGGGUAUAGGGGCGAAAGACUAAUCGAACCAUCUAGUAGCUGGUUCCCUCCGAAGUUUCCCUCAGGAUAGCUGGAAUUGAACAGUUUUAUCAGGUAAAGCGAAUGAUUAGAGGACUUGGGGACGUGUUGUCCUCGACCUAUUCUCAAACUUUAAAUGGGUAA
rnacentral:rRNA from 2 species